rnacentral:rRNA from 1 species
UACAGAGGGAGCGAGCGUUGUUCGGAAUUACUGGGCGUAAAGGGCGCGUAGGCGGUCCGAUAAGUCCCGUGUGAAAUCCCUCGGCUCAACUGAGGAAUGGCACGGGAAACUGACGGGCUUGAGUUCGGGAGAGGGAAGCGGAAUUCCGGGUGUAGCGGUGAAAUGCGUAGAUAUCCGGAGGAACACCGGUGGCGAAGGCGGCUUCCUGGACCGACACUGACGCUGAGGCGCGAAAGCC